rnacentral:lncRNA from 1 species
UAAGCUCAUCCUUAUUGACAGACAUAGUUAUAUACUUACAUACACAAUACACGAACACAUACACUCCCCAUCCUCCAUCCCCCUCGCAACCCUGCCAGCGCAAUCACAGACACAAACACAGAGCAGAUCUAAACUACUAGACAGAGAGUCUAUAAAAGCCCUCACACCAUCUCAUCCUUCCUUGAAACACUCUUAAGCAAAGAAAAGCCAAGUUCUUACAUUGUAAAACAAGAUAAAAGGACUCCAACAAAUCUACAGCUUCUCCACUCUGUCAAGUCCAGUUAAUAACAGGGAAAAUUUCAAGAACAGGGCAUGCUCGAACCUUAUUUGACAAAGAAAGCACAAUGUUCGGCUAUCUAUAGAAGACCUUCAUGCGUGAAAUGUAUUUUCGUGUACACAUACUGGUACAUUUUGUACAAACGUCAGUCCAAAUGCCCUUCACAUUUGGCCUAAAAACCUGAACCCUUUAUUGAUUAGGGCUUCUAGGGCGCCCUUUUCCAUAAUAAUUCUACAGCAAAUUGCAGGAAACAGAAGACAAUGUGCAUCUAUCAUCCAACAACGCAAUAACCAAUCUAUCACAACCUGACAAAUUAACAAAUUAACUUCUUUCCUCUUCCUUCUCAUGUUUUCAAGCCAAUAGUACCCAAAUUUGGACCUAACCAAAAAAAAAAGGGAAAAACAAGUGCAGUAAAGGUCUUUAUCAUAUUCUAAUCAAAGUGUCAAACAGAGCUAAAUUACAGAGAAACUUAAAAAAUGAAAGAGAAAAAAAGAUACAAGCUUUUUUGUAUUUUUAACAUAGAUAAAAACCCAUAUGAGACUGAAGAAACUCUACUCAGGAUUGGGAUUUAAUCCUCCUCACCAUUUCCUCAAAAGCUAAGCUGAAAAUUCUCCCUUUCUUUUUCGCCAAUUAAUUUUCCGUCAAAAGACUACGCGAAAUUGAGGGGCGUCGGAGCCUUGAGCCGGCAGAAUCUCCCAGCGGCAAGGUUCGAGCUCGUCGGAAACAGGGCAGAAGCCGGCGAGGGUGACCUUAUCGGCAGAAGCGGCAACGGAACCGAAUUCGAAAACUGUGAUAUCAGCUGGUGGUGGCCCGGGCCGUCGGACCUCCACUGCUCCGUUCAUGCCUGGAACUUCAGAAGCGGAUUGGGUUUUCACCCUUCAGAAGCGGAUUGGGUUUUCACCGGUUCGGAUUUUUGGGUCGCGGGUUUGGAGUUGGUAUCGUUUUUGGUUCCCUUGAACCAUGAAAAAAUACCCAUUGGUGGUGAAUCAGUAAUGUUGCUCACAAAAUGAACUAGUUAGAACUUCCAGUGAGAGAAAGGGUGGAGGGGUUCUAGGCAAUCCAGUUUUAUUUGAGGAAGAAAUCAAGAAAGAGGAUAGCAUUCGUUGAGGGCAAAAUGACGAGAACGCCAUUUAAUUUUUUGUUACUAAAAUAUUUUAGGACAGAAAUAGAAGGAUAUUUAACUAUUGGAUCAUCAUAUAGAGAGUAUUUAGAUUUUGGACAAAUUACAUUUUACCCCUGUGGUUUAGAUUUUUACAUAACCCCGUAUGGUUUCAGAAGUUAUAUAUACAUUUUUCAUGGUUUAGAUUAAAGUGUCAAAGUGACGGAAAUAGUCAUUCAUAACGGAACUUCUGAAAAUGUCGAAAUUAUGCUUAUAAAUAUAUGGCACACUAAUCAUGUAUGAUUUUUAUAUUUUAACAUAUAAUCUCCUUAUGGUUUAAUACUUUAUCAUAUAUCUCCCUUAUAAUUUUCAGAAUAUAUACAUAGCCCCCCUUAAUUAAUAAAUAAUUUUUAACUUUACAUAAGGGUAUUUUUUACAUUUUAGGUGGCUUCAUUACGAAUGAUUAUUUUUAUCACUUUGACAUUUUAAUUCAAAUCAUAAAGGAAUUAUAUAUAGGUUUUGAAAUUAUAUGGGAGUUAUGUAAAAAAUACUAAAUCACAGGAGGAUAACGUGGAAUUUGCCGUUAGAUUUUUAAUGUUAUUUCCACGUAUAAUAAACCAAGGAAAAUCUGAUGCAUCUUUUAUUUUUCUCUAUCUGGUAUGGAAAAAUGCAUCUAGAAAGCUACACAUUUUUGGAUUGAGGAAUAAACAUCAUGGUUCUAUGGCAAGUUAUUCAUGUAGUAUGAUGGAUGGAUUUGCAUUUUGGCCUUCAACUCUUUGGUGAGCUGCACCUGCUGUAGCCUGUAAGUCGCCCUUUAUUUGUUUAGUAUUUUUUUCUCAUAUACGCAGCUAGAAGUUAACGAGCUUCUUAAAUCCUAUUAUUAUGCUCCUAAAAAAUUGGCAAAUCAUUGUAACUUCGAUAGGAGGUUAAGGAAAAAGUCUGGUUACUUAAGUGGAAAGUUUUACUCUAAUUAUUCCUGCUUAUGUACUCAAGAUUUUGCCGAGGCAACUAUCUCUACCAUAUUAUGUGUUUUCAGUCUGAUGAAAAUAGGGACAAUUUGCAAUGAUGAUGAUGAACACAGGUUUUGCCCUGUUAAGCACUUUAAUGAUUUCACCUAGGGCCACUAAGCAUUUGAUUACUACUUACUAGUCUUCAACAACCACACAUUAGGAUAGAAUUUAUUCUGGAUUUUUCUCUCACUAAAUCAGAACAUUAUCUAAUAGCCAAACAUUAUUAUUGUUGUUCUUGUUAUUAUUAUUAUUGGUGAAAAUGGUUUUUUUUUUGAAGGGUUAAGAAAAUUUGUUGGUGAAGUUCCUAUGGGAGAAUUACAUACUCAUAUUGGUUAUCAGUUUCGUGAUAACCAACCCGAAUUAGAUAUCAUUGCACAAAUCACUAAGGAGUAGGGGUGCAAACGAAACUUACGAAUGGCUCGAUUCAAGCUUGAUUCGAGCUAGUCGAGUCAAAGUCAAGUUUGAACUCGAGCUCAAAAUAUUGAACUGACUCGCGAGCUCAAGUAUAUAUAUAUAUAUAUAUAUAUAUAUUAAUAGUAAAAUUACAUAAAUAUCUUUAAUAUUUUAUUAUUUAUUAAGAAAAAAUAUUAUUUUAUUUAUUUUUUAAAAAAUAAAAUAAUUAUUUUUAUUUUUUCGAUUCGAUUCAAGCUCGAACUCGACGAGCUGACAAUUUUUUCAAGCUUGAGCUCGGCUCGAAUCUCGUCGAGCUCGAGCUCGAACUUCAAAAUUGUCAGUUCGUCAAGCUCGAGUUCGAGUUCGAGUUCGACAAAAUUAAGUUAAGGCUCGGCUUGAGUAGGUCAAAACUCGACUCUACUCGGUUCGUUUGCAGCCCUAUUAAGGAGUAUCAUUCACAAAAUGUUAUGUGCGAUUCCAGCAAUAUAUAAGUCAUCGGUUUAAUAUUGGACUUUAUGAGUCUAGGGGAAAUAAAUGAUGAUUUGACAAAUAAAAUAGCAAGGAUUAAGGCACUUGCCAUGCAUUAUUAUUUUAUCUAUAGUCCAUAUAUAUUCAUAGAAAUAAAAUUUGGUUAAUUUAGAUGCUACCAGUUUUGCUUGUGACGGGAACUAAAUAAGUGCAAUUCAUGGCAUAUACGUCAAACAUAAUCAUAUGAAAAGAAAAAUAUGCAGUUUUUGUAAAAAAAAAAUAUAUUGUAACGAUUUGAUAAAUAUAAAAUAAAAAGGUGAUUGGAGAAUGUCUUCAGAAAAAAUGUAGAGAUUUUUUGAUAGAAAAACUUCCUGUAUGAAGUUAGAGAAUAGAGGACAUAUUCAUUUAUAUGCGAUGUUUUGACAUCUUUAAACCAUUAUGUUUAUGAAUUAUUUACUACUCAUAUCUGAUCUACUCCAUCCUUGUCUAUCUGGUUAUUGUUUACGCACUUGAGAAAAACUUCAGGCACUCCAGUCCGCUCUUUUCUUCUGUUCUGUUUAAUAAAAUGACUAACACCUAAACAUAGUGUCUGUUCUGUUCUGAAAUAUGAUUAUGUUUGAUGUAUAUGCCAUGAAUUAGAGUUUAUUGUUUGAUCGAGUUACCCAUCUAAACCUAUAAACCUAUUUAAAAUUCAUUGCGCAUACAAAUUCACUUAUAAAUGGAUGGGUGUAGAUGAAGUAAUAUAAUCGAAUUGUAAUUUACACCUUACGUACGUACGUGGAAGCAUAUAACCAACUCAUACCAUAUUGCUUAACAGAUUGGGAUAAGACCCUUUUGUUAUCUAAAAUUGAAGAGUGAAAAGAAGAUCGUCAUUUCAAAUUUGGCACAAUGCUAUAUGCAUUGCAAUCUUUAUGUAGACUUAUGGACAAAUUGAGCUCAUGAUCUCACAAGCGCUUAUUUGGGGAGGUAGGUAAGAAUGCUUCAUUUGCUGAAGUUAAAAUUAAAGAAAAACAGUUUAAAAAAAUACAUUAAUAAAAUGCAGCAUAUGAACAAGAUGAUGAUGCAAAGCACCAUACUGCACGUAGUGGAGAAGAUAGAAAACAUCAGAAACUUCACUUCUCAGAAAAACAGAAGAAGAAGAGAAAGGAAAGCCACAGGAUGCUUAACCCUUCACUGUCAUCCAUCUCAACCCUUCCAUUCUCCUUAACCACAACCGUUUCAGCUUUAGGAACCCUCCAGCCUUGAAACACAACCUUUCUCCCUGGUAAGAUCCCGAGAAACCAAUUUCACCCAAAUUGGGCAAAUGUUGGAGGGAUUCAAGCGGAUCCUCCUCAGCCCUUAACCCGCUCCAGUUCAUAAGUAUUUUUACCAAGUUUUGAAGAUGAGUUAUCCAUACUGGCAUCGUUUCUAAGCGGCCACACAUAAUUAGCACACGAAGAGAUUGAAGAAACGAACAAGAAGAAGAAGAAGAAAGAGAAUGUUGAUGAGGAUUUAGAUCGAUUAUCUCAGAAUCAUCACCUUUUCCAACUGAAGCAACACUUAAUUGCCGAAGGCUGGUGAGGUUGACAAGGGAGGAGCAGAGCUCCUUUCCAUCUUCUCUUCUCAACUGUGUAAUAUGUAACUCGCUUAAUUGGGUCAAUUUUCCUAUCUCUUUAACUAUUACAGACCCGCUGCUUGCAUCUAUGGUGUUUAACCUUUGUAGAGCCAGAAGCCCUCCCAAUUUUGACGGACCUUUAAACCCAUGAAAUCCAUAAUCACUAUCUGAGGGAUCAACUUGUUGAUAUACUCUGAGAUGCCGAAGCUUUAGCAGCUUUAGGAUUUCCAUGGGUAAUUCCCUAACUCCAGUGUUCCCCAAAUUCAGAUGCUCCAAAUGUUGAAGCUUUCCAAUUGCUCUCGGGACUCUUGCCACUUUUGUACCAUAUAGGCUCAGAUAUGUGAGAUGCAACAAGCUGAAAAUCUCAUUUGGUGUUUCCUCUAUCUCUUGACCUACCAAUUCCAAAACCUUUAGCAACUUGCUACUCCUUAGAACUUCGCAUAAGAACGUUUUGGAUAGUAAUGGGUUGGUGGAACUAACUGUGAUGAAUGAUCGAAGGUGUUCAAAGGAAAAAAAAUUGUCUUUGUUGGUGGUAUUGGAUGUUGCUAGUGUUACUACUACCAUGGAUUGCUAGACGGCGUACCUUCUCAGAUGGCCACGUCAUUGGUUGUCCAGUAGUAACUGUCACCAUGUUUUGUUUCCUUGACUUGAUGAGAAUAACUUCUCUCGCUAAGUCAUGGAUUCGACACGUGUAAGGUGUUCCUUCAUAUAACAUUUCAGUUACUUGAAUUAGGCUUCUAUUGACGAGUUCACUGAGAUAACCCCAGGCUACAUCUUCAAUACUCAUUCCUUCUCUCCAUUCUACAAAUCUUUCAGCAAUCCAUAAUAGAAUCAGCCUCUGGCAGUUUAUUGGAUAAUCCUCCGGAUAAAUGGUUAAAUACAACAGACAGGGUUUGAGGUGCGAAGGCAGAUCAUUGUAACUCAGAGAAAGUAUCCUUUUAACUCUCUCUAGCUUACCGGUGAAUUCACCCCCAAGACUCUGUUGAAUCUUCUCCCAUUCAUCUAUUCUGCUCGCGUCCUUUGAAGCUAAGAGCCCACCAAUCGCAACAAUCGCCAAAGGCAAACCGUCACAUUUAUCCAAUACAGCUUUUGCAACAUCCAUCAGGUGGGCGGGGCAACGAUUUCCUUUAAAGAACUUGUUGCAAAAUAGGGUCCACGAAUCUUCAUUUGAUAGUGCCUCCAUUCUGUGGACAUAAUCCUGAGAUUCUGUGCAAGAGGCAGAGGCUACAUCGGCAUUUCGUGUUGUUAGCAUGACAUGAUUGCCGUAGUUACCCUCAGGCAGUGCAAAUUUGAUUUCAUUCCAAAAUUCCACGUCCCACACAUCAUCGAAGACAAUUGCAUACCUUCCAACUUGUUGAAGAAAAUCUUUGACAAAUUCUUUCAGCUCGGCGGUAGAUAUAGAUUCGAUGAAUUGUGGGACUGAUUUGUUCAAUUCCUUGUGCAACUGCCAAAUCAAGUCUCUCAGGAGCUUUGGAAAGUCGCAUGUUUGAGAGACGGUUACCCAGGCAUGAACUGGGAAAUUCUUUCUAACAUCUGGAUCUUCGUGGACCUUUUUGACUAGGGUAGUUUUCCCUAGUCCAGCCAUACCAACCACUGAAAUAACUUUGAGUUGGUGAUCGUGCCCCUCGAGAAGCUUAGAAAUCAGAUGUUGUUUGGGCCGGUCAAUGCCAACCAAUUUUGCUUCCUCCACUAGAAGUGCAUCAUCCCUGCUAUAGCGCCAUGAAUCGUUCAUGGUUGAAGAUCCAGUGACACGGUGGUCGAUGCCAAAUUCAACUUGGUAUCUCCGACAUCCUUCUGAAAUAUUUUUGAUCCUGGACUUUAUGCUUUGAAUUUCACUGGCAACCUGAUGACGAGCUGGCAAGCUCUUAAUGGCUUUGAGAAUUCUCUGAAGAGAGCCACAGAAUCCAUGAUGUCGGUAGCCAGCAAAGCGAAGUACAAAUUCAUCGAGAACAUCUUCAAUGUCAUAAGCAGCUUCGCUCACUUGCUUGAUCCAUUCUUGGAGCCUGAGAUUAGAGGUGUCAAAAUGGGUGACUUGGACGUGUUUGGAUUGGAUAAAAUGGGUAAUGGGUAUAAGUAAGUCAAUCCGUUUAUACCCAUUUAAUUAGAUAAGUAUAAAUGGGUAAGUCAAAAAAUGAAUUGGAUAAUCCAAUUAUCCAUUUAUAACCCAUUUAUUUUAACUUUUUGUAAACUCAUUUAAAUUUUUUUUGCAAACUAAGUUAUCAAUUUUUACCGCUCUUUGUACCCAUCAUUAGUAUUAAAUAUUUACUUAUAAUGCUUGAUAAGUUUAAUUACCAAUUUUUUUUCCAUUGAUACUCUAUGUUGCAAAAUUACAUAUUAUUUAAUAAUUGAAUAGUAAGAAUAUAAAAAUUUAUACUAAGUGUUAUAAAAAUGCAAUCCAAAAAUUUUGAACCCCUGACAUAUAUAAGUUUAAAAUUUCAUUUUAGAAAGAUAAGAAAAGAGGUUAAAACUUAUCAUAAAUUGGUAAAGCUAAAAAAUGAGUAAGUUAACAAAUUAAGAGAAAAUAAAAUAAUAAGAUAAACCAACAAAUAAUAAUAACAAUGAAACAAAAGUAGUUAACAUCAUGACAAAAUGAAAAAUCUGAAAAAAAAAAGGGGUGGAGGAAGAGAAGAGACUUGGAAGAAGAGAAUUCUAAAUGAGUUAAUUGAGUUUAAUGGGUUGCCCAAUAAUACCAUUUAAUAAAUGAGUAUUAUUGGGUAAUCCAUUUAUGUCCAUAUAAAAAAAAUUUAAGAUACUCAUACCCAUCUAUUCAUAGACGGGUACGAGUAAAUUUAGUUAGGUGGAUUGGUUUGCCACCCAUACCUAGGAUCAUCAUCUUCUUUUGCUUCAGCCACUUUGAGGAAAGCUUUCAUAUGCCCCAACUCAUCCUUGAUGAGUUGGACCUCUUGUCGAAGCCCUCCCAACAGGCUUCCCUCCUCUUGGAGUAAGGUUGCGAGACGAUUUGAAACAAAAGAGACAACAGUUUCUGCCAUUUUAUAGUUUUUUUUUUCAAGAAGAAGAAGAAGGAGGCAGGGUUUUAGCUUCUUUUUAUAUGGUUAUGAGUAGAAGAAUGGUUUUAACUUCAUAUAUUUUUUGGGUGCCUGAGAAGGAUUUAUUAUAUAGGAAGGAAGACCUUGGUGGAUUCCAUCGGAAGUAAUGCUCGUUUUCUACCUUCCUUGUUCCCCAUGGUUUGGAAUUUGUAGAAAGAAAGUUGAAAUGAUUUAUUCUUUCUUCACUUCCGGAAAUUAGUAUCAUAGUGAGAGCAGAAGCACCACUUUAGGAAUAAAUCAGCCCUUACGAGUAAGAAAGAACAAACAUGGCUUUAUUCUUCUUGUCCUUUUUAUUCUUACGUCAAGUCUUAGCUAUAUCACCUUCAAAGGCUCUCGAAGAAAAGAAGCACAUUUUUUUUUUAGUGUAGAAUGUGCAUCAACAAAAUUGAGAUGAAUGUUGGAGCCAAGUCUGCCUUUCUAUGUUGUACUAUUACAAAAGUAUGAGGAAAGCAAGACAAGUUUGCAAUGAAUCACGUUAUUUGUCUUUUGUGUCUUUUCAGCAUUCUUAUUUCGGCUUACAACAUUUGCCGCAAGACAAGUUGGAAUUAAAGGGAGAGAAAGAAUUUUUCUUCUUACAGAAAAUCAGGCCAACUGUGUGUUAUUAAUAACCCCUCCAGUAAAUGUUGGCCAAAAAUUAUUCAUGAUUUACCUUCUUCCUGCAAUAAUCUAUUCCGUAGGGUAGAUAGAAUCAACUUGAAAUGUUGUAUUCUUUCUUCAAUUCUGCAAAUUAGUAUCAUUUGAGGAUGAAGCACCACUUUUGGUGUCAAUUACCCCUAUGGGAAAUAAUAAGAUGGCUUCAUUCUUCGUAUCCUAAAUAUUCUUAUUUCAACUCUUCUGUUAUCCUCUUUGACUGCUUUCGAAGGAAAGAAUACACUUUCUCAAUUAAUCUCUGUUAUUCUGUAUCAGCGCGACAUUGCUCAUACCUGGUGCCAAGUAUUGUUGCUUAUGAUAUUUGACAUGCAUAAAUUUUCAUUUUCACCAGAUAGAAUAUUGUAAGUGAGAACUAACAGGAAUUUGAAGCAGCUUAAUUCAAAAAAUAAAACUAGUCCGUGCUUCAAAAAAUCCAGUUCAAUUUCUGUGUUACCCCAACAUAAAGAAGAAAAUAAUCAUGGUUGAAACAAUUAUGGUUUGUUACCCCUCUUGAUUCAGAUGGAACUUUAAUAAGUAACAUCCAUUAUCAGGAUUUAAAUAAAGGGAUUUCCAUUGGUAACCAACUGGCAAUAGGAUCACCCAUAUCUAGAUAUUCUAAAUUCUGAAGCUCUCCAAUGCAUUUGGGAUUGUUUUUAACUUUUGCUCUUCUUCAUUUGGGAUUUCUUUAAAAUGCGCAGCUCCAAAAAUCCAAAACCUUAAUCAACUUACCCGAUAAGAGAGCAGAUUUUGGAUAGUGAUUCCAUGGACCAAUCUAUUAUCUGUUACUAUAUUAAAAGUUCGAUGAGUAUUGGCAUCAUAUGUUAUAAGCACUUUUUUAUCUAAGUUUUUGCUGUACCCAUAUCACCCUCAUCUUUCAAUUUGAGUUAUUACAUUUUAAUUCUGGUAGUAAUUAAAAAUACGGAAACAUUUCAAAUGAUUAAACCUCAAUAAUAAUGGUAAUUAAAAUGAAAAAAACUCCCUAUUAAAACUAUUUAGCGACCCUUGUACUCCAUCUUCAAUUCUUAUAUGUGUCAAAGUUUCUUAUCCAAAACAAUUUCUUACUUGAAAUUAUGUGACCAAUUGCAUUAGCCACAAUUUAGAUAUCGUAAAAAAUAUUAAUAUAAAAAAAUAGAUGCUCUUGGAAAAAAGAGCAAUAUAUAAGAAGAAAAUAGUCCAUAUUCAUUUGAAGAAUCUUGAUAUUAAUAUCAUGUGACAGAUAUAUAAUUAUGUGCUUUUUAUCGGUAUUAAGAAAUACUAAGAGAAAAGAACAAAUAAAAGAAUCCAACUAUUUUUAUCAAUUGAAUGUCAAUAGACAACUAAGUAGACAAUCUAAGAUAAUUAAGCAGUAUAGAUCAUUUACAUUUUUUAUUAACCUCAAUAAAACUUAAAAAAAUGUAAAUAUUCCAAAUUCAAUAAUACGCCUCACAUUAUUCAAUUCAAAUUCACAAAAAGAAAUAAAAGUUCAACUAGAAAGAUAUAAAAACCUUACUCUAUGGAACUAAUUUCUGCUGACCAAUUAGUAUUUGUAAUAUCAAAGAAAUGUGACCUGUAUUGAUUUAAGAGGUCUAUGAAUAGCAUGCAAAUUUAGCAAAAAAAAAAAAAAAGAAAUUGCAGAAAAUGGUGAGGAGUGAAUUAAAAAUAAUCAAUUUUCUUUACAAUUAAGGAUUACAAAUUUGUUGGAAUAGCUGUACCACUCAAUCAUGACGUGGCUUAUUUCUAUGCCCUUCACUUUGUCAAUUAAUUUAAUGUCUCAUUUAUGUCGUCUUUGCAGCUAUCUUUUUUAACUGCAUAGGGAAAAUUUAAGUUUCUUUUUUAACUCAAUCAAAUACCAAUUUUAUUUGACAAACAAACCAAGCAAAUGUAAAAGCACCUUAAAAAGCAUGAAGAGUUUAGGCUCAAAUCUUUCUCUGCCUUGAUAUAUUCAACAUGACUUGAUAUAUGCUCUACAUGGUACACCAAUUCAUAUAAGCUCAGCCUUAUUGACAUAGACAUAGUUAUAUCCUCCACCCCCCAAACACAAAGCAGAUCUAAACUACUAGACAGAGUCUAUAAAAGCCCUCACACCAUCUCAUCCUUCCUUGCAACACUCUUAAGCCAAGAAAAGCCAAGUUCUUACAUUGUAAAACAAGAUAAAAGGACUCCAACAAAUCUACAGCUUCUCCACUCUGUCAAGUCCAGUUAAUAACAGGGAAAAUUUCAAGAACAGGGCAUGCUUGGAACCUUAUUUGACAAAGAAAGCACAAUGUUCGGCUAUCUAUAGAAGGCCUUCAUGCGUGAAAUGUAUUUUCGUGUACACCUACUAGUACAUUUUGUACAAACGUCAGUCCAAAUGCCCUUCACAUUUGGCCUAAAAACCUGAACCCUUCAUUGAUUAGGGCUUCAAGGGCUCCCUUUUCCAUGAUAAUUCUACAGCAAAUUGCAGGAAACAGGAGAAAAUGUGCAACUAUCAUCCAACAACGCAAUAACCAAUCUAUCACAACAAAUUAACUUCUUUCCUCUUCCUCCUCAUGUUUUCAAGCCAAUAGUACCCAAAUUUGGACCUAACCAAAAACAAGUGCAGUAAAGGUCUUUAUCAUAUUCUAAUCAAAGUGUCAAACAGAGCUAAAUUACAGGGACUUCAAAAAUGAAAGAGAAAAAAAGAUACAAGCUUUUUUGUAUUUUUAACAUAGAUAAAAACCCAUAUGAGACUGAAGAAACUCUACUCAGGAUUGGGAUUUAAUCCUCCUCACCAUUUCCUCAAAAGCUAAGCUGAAAAUUCUCCCUUUCUUUUUCGCCAAUUAUUUUUCCGUCAAAAGACUACGCGAAAUUGAGGGGCGUCGGAGCCUUUAGCCGGCAGAAUCUCCCAGCGGCAGGGUUCGAGCUCGUCGGAAACAGGGCAGAAGCCGGCGAGGGUGACCUUGUCGGCAGAAGCGGCAACGGAACCGAAUUCGAAAACUGUGACAUCAGCUGGUGGUGGGCCUUGCCGUCGGACCUCCACUGCUCCGUUCAUGCCUGGAACUUCAGAAGCGGAUUGGGUUUUAACCGGUUCGGAUUUUUGGGUCGCGGGUUUGGAGUUGGUAUCGUUUUUGGUUCCCUUGAACCAUGAAAAAAUACCAAUUGGUGGUGAAUCAGUAAUGUUGCUCACAAAAUGAACUAGUUUGAACUUCCAGUGAGAGAAGGGUGCAGGGGUUCUAGCCUCUAGGCAAUCCAGUUUUAUUUGAAGAAAAAAUCAAGAAAGAGGAUAGCUUUCGUUGAGGGCAAAAUGACGAGAACGCCAUUUAAUUUUUUGUUACUAAAAUAUUUUAGGACAGAAAUAGAAGGAUACUUAACUAUUGGAUCAUCAUAUAGAGGAUUUAGAUUUUGGGCAAAUUAUAUUUUAUCCCCUGUGGUUUAGUUUUUUAUAUAAUCUCUAUGGUUUCAAAAGUUAUAUAUAACUUUAUCAUGGUUUAGAUUAAAGUGUUAAAAUAACGAAAAUAGUCAUUCAUAACGGAACUUCUAAAAAUGUCGAAAUUACGCUUAUAAAUACAUGACACACUGACCAUGUAUGAUUUUUAUAGUUUAACAUAUAAUCCCCUUAUAAUUUAAUACAUUCUCAUAUAACUCUCUUAUAAUUUUCAAAAUAUAAUUUAAUAUACACAUAACCCCCCUUGAUUAAUAAAUAAUUUUUAACUUUACAUAAGGAUAUUUUUUACAUUUUAGGUGACUCCGUUACGAAUGAUCAUUUUCGUCACUUUGACACUUUAAUCCAAAUUAUAAAGGAGUUAUGUAUAGGUUUUGAAAUUAUACGGGGGUUAUGUAAAAAAUACUAAACCACAAGAGGGUAACGUGAAAUUUGCUCUUAGAUUUUCAAUGUUAUUUCCCUGUAUAAUAAACCAGGGAAAAUCUAAUGCAUCUUUUAUUUUUCUCUAUCUGGUUUGGAAAAAUGCAUCUAGAAAGCUACAUAUUUUUGGAUUGAGGAAUAAGCGCCAUGAUUUUGUGGCAAGUUUUUUUUUUUUUUUUUGUCAAAACUGUGGCAAGUUAUUCAUGUAGUAUGAUGGAUGGAUUUGCAUUUUGGCCUUCAACUCUUUGGUGAGCUGCAUCUGCUGUAAGUCGCCCUUUAUUUGUUUAGUAUUUUUUUUCUUAUAUACGCAGCUAGAAGUUGAGGAGCUUCUUAAAUCCCAUUUUUAUGCUCCUAAAAAAUUGGCAAAUCCAGAGAAACUUAUAGAAAUAAAUCCCAUUUUUGUUAUCUAAAAUUGAAGAGUGAAAAGAAGAUUGUCAUUCUCAAAUUUCGCACAGUGCUAUAGCUAUUGCAAUCUUUAUGUAGACUUAUGGGCAAAUUGAUUCCUGGACUCAGUUAUCGUUGAGCUCAUGAUCUCACAAGUGCUUAUUUGGGGAGGUAGGUAAGAAUGCUUCAUUUGCUGAAGUUAAAAUUAAAGAAAAACAGUUUAUAAAAUACAUUAACAAAAUGCAGCAUAUGAACAAGAUGAUGAUGCAAUGCACCAUACUACACGCAGUGGAGAACAUAGAAAACAUCAGAAACUUCUCAGAAAAAUAAAAGAAGAAGAGAAAGGAAAGCCACGGGAUGCUGCUAGUGCUAGGCAAGGAUUGUUUUCUUCUUCUUCCCCCAUAGCCGGCGGAUUAUCCAUUCCCCAUCAUCGGCAUAGAAACCAAUGACAAUUUCAGGAAUGUGUGCUAUUCUUCUGUAAUCUUCACUGUCUUCCUUUUGAUUCGCCACCUUUUCCAUCAGUUGAGAACUCAUCUCAUCCAAAUACAGCUCUUGAAGAUGGCUCAAGUGCUGAAUUCCCGAUGGUAAGUCCUCUAGUGAUGGAAGUCGAUCAAGAACUAGUGUUCGGAGAUGAGGGCAUGCACCCUCCUCCACUGCCAUCCAUCUCAACCCUUCCAUUCCCUUUAACGACAACCAUCUCAGCUUUAGGAACCCUCCAGCCUUGAAACAUAACCCUUCUCCUUGGUAACAUCCACAGAAAUUAAUUGUAUCCAAAUUGGGCAAAUGUUGGAGGAAUUCAAGCGGGUCCUUCUCACCCCUUAACCUACUCCAGUACAAAUUUAUUUUUACCAAGUUUUGAAGAUGAGUCGUCCAUGCUGGCAUCGUUUCUAAACGGCCAUGCAUAAUUAGCACACGAAGAGAUCGAAGAAACGAACAAGAAGAAGAAGAAGAAAGAGAAUGUUGAUAAUGAUUUAGAUCGAUUAUCUCAGAAUCAUCACCUUUUCCAACUGAAUCAACACUUAAUUCCCGAAGGCUGGUGAGGUUGGCAAGGGAGGAGCAGAGCUCCUUUCCAUCUUCUCUUCUCAACUGUGUAAUAUAUAAAUCUCUUAAUUGGGUCAAUUUUCCUAUCUCUUUAACCAUUACAGACCCGCUGCUUGCAUCUAUGGUGUCUAACCUUUGUAAAGCGAGAAGCACUCCCAAUUUUGACGGACCUUUAAACCCAUGAAAUCCAAAAUCUUCAUCUGAGGGAUCAACUUGUUGGUAUACUCUGAGAUGCCGAAGCCUUUGCAGCUUUAGAAUUUCCACGGGUAAUUCCCUAACUCUAGUGUUCCCCAAAUUCAGAUAUUCCAAAUGUUGAAGCUUUCCAAUAGCUCUCGGGACUCUUGCCACUUUUGUACCAUAUAGGCUCAGAUAGGUGAGAUGCAACAAGUUGAAAAUCUCAUUUGGUGUUUCCUCUAUCUCUUCAUCUUCCAAAUCCAAAACCUUUAGCAACUUGCUACUCCUUAAAACUUCAGAUAAGAAAGUUUUGGAUAGUAAUGGGUUGGUGGAACUAAAUGUGAUGAAUGAUCGAAGGUGUUCAAAGGAAUAAAAUUGUCUAUGUUGGUGGUGUGGGAUGCUGCUGCUGUUACUACUACUAUGGAGUACUAGACGGCGUACCUUCUCAGAUGGCCACGUCAUUGGUUGUCCAGUAGUAACUGUCACCAUGUUUUGUUCCCUUGACUUGAUGAGAAUAACUUCCCUCAAUAGGUCAUGGAUUUGACACUUCUCGGGUAAUCCUCCAUAAAACACAUCAGUCACUUGAAUUAGGCUUCUAUUGAUGAGUUCACUGAGAUAACCCCAGGCUACAUCUUCAAUACUCAUUCCUUCUCUCCAUUCUACAAAUCUUUCAGCAAUCCAUGAUAGAACCAGCACACUGCAGUGUAUUAUAUCAUCCUCCGGAUAAAUAGUUAAAUACAACAGACAGGGUUUGAGAUGCGAAGGCAGAUCAUUGUAACUCAGAGAAAUUAUCCUUUUAACUCUGUCCAGCUUACCAGUGCCUUCUAAUUCACCCCCAAGACUGCGUCGAACCAUCUCCCAUUCAUCUAUUCUGCUCACGUCCUUCGAAGCCAAGAGCCCGCCGAUCGCAACAAUCGCCAAAGGCAAACCGUCACAUUUGUCCAAUACAGCUUUUGCAACAUCCAUCAGGUGGGCGGGGCAAUGAUUUCCUUUAAAGAUCUUGUUACAAAAUAGCGUCCACGAAUCUUCAAUUGAUAGUGGCUCCUUUUUGUAGACAUAAUCCUGAGAUUCUGUGCAAGAGGCAGAGGCUACAUCGGCUUUUCGUGUUGUUAGCAUGACGCGAUUGCCAUAGUUACCCUCAGGCAGUGCAAAUUUGAUUUCAUUCCAAAAUUCCACGUUCCACACGUCAUCAAACACAAUUGCAUACCUUGCAGCUUUUUGAAGAAAACCUUUGACAAUUUUUUUCAGCUCAGCAGUAGUCUUGGACUCGAUCGAUUGUGGGACUGGUUCCUUCUCUUCCUCGUAUAAUUGCCGAAUCAAGUCUCUCAGGAGCUUUGGAAAGUCGCAUGUUUGAGAGACGGUUAUCCAGGCACGAACUGGGAAAUUCUGUCUAACAUCUGGAUCUUCAUGGACCUUUUUGACUAGGGUAGUUUUCCCUAGUCCAGCCAUACCCACCACUGAAAUAACUUUGAGCUGGUGAUCGUCCCCCUCGAGGAGCUCAGAAAUCAGAUGUUGUUUGGGCUGGUCAAUGCCAACCAAUUUUGCUUCCUCCACUAGAAGUGCGUCAUCCCUGCUAUAGCGCCAUGAGUCGUUCAUGGUUGAAGAUCCAGUGACACGGUCAUCGAUGCCAAAUUCAACUUGGUAUCUCUGACGUCCUUCUGAAAUAUUUUUGAUCCUGGACUUUAUGCUUUGAAUUUCACUGGCAACCUGAUGACGAGCUCGCAAGCUCUUAAUGGCUUUGAGAAUUUUCUGAAGAGAGCCACGGAAUCCAUGAUGUCGGUAGCCAGCAAAGCGAAGUACAAAUUCAUCGAGAACAUCUUCAAUGUCAUAAGCAGCUUCGCGCACUUGCUUGAUCCAUUCUUGGAGCCUGGGAUCUUCUUCUUCUUUUGCUUCAGCCACUUUGAGGAAAGCUUUCAUAUGCCCCAACUCAUCCUUGAUGAGUUGGACCUCCUGUCGAAGCCCUCCCAAUAGGCUUCCCUCCUCUCGGAGUAAGGUUGCGAGAUGAUUUGAAACAAAAGAGACAACAGUUGCUGCCAUUUUCAGUCUUCCUUUUUAACCUAAGAAUGUCGGGGAAGGCGGCUUCUGGUUUAUAGGAUAGGACAGUCCAGUUGUAAUAUCUUGAAAGGAAGAAGGAAGAGGAAGUUAUAGAUUCAUAAGCUGAUGUUCUUCGGUGCAGUAUUUAUCAAAAAGAAAAACCGCGUUAAACAGAAAAAGAAAGAAUUAACCAAUUAGAAGACACUAAAGCAAGAAACAUGAUGGAAAUUGAACACGGGAAGAUAGGCAGCAACCUGAGUUUGAAAAACGAAGCUGCCUCUUACCUGCUUAGAAAUUAGAAUACAAAGUCGUUGAAGCUAUUAAGAAGAAUCUGCAAAUGGUGGGGUGAUCAUCCUUCGGGACUAAUUGCACGAUUGCACGAUUCACUACUAAAUUAAUCGCGUUUAGUACUUUGGUCAGAUAAAGAUAAAGAAGUGACUACCAAAAUAAAAAUAAUGACACUUGUGAAUCAAAUGGAAGCCAGCUAUGGGUUUUCCAGGAACAUGUGAUGCAGAGGAGUGGAACAGAAAAAUCAACUCAAGACCAAAGUAAGCUAUAGUUACUUUAACCUAAGCUUGAACCUCUCCCCUACCUUGUUUCUUAUAUUAUAACUGAAUAGUGGAUAUUCAAUGCAUAUUCAACUAAAUAACGCACUUUAUUUGUUGAAAGCAAUAGUAAAAACUUACAGUUAAAGUGCAAUUGUUCACUCAUCUUCUUUUUUGGUGAAGAACGGGAGGGUGGACACACAGGUGAGAGCCAAAACCCCAUUUUCUAGAAAUAGGAAAUAAAUGACUUUAUUCAUUCAAUAAGAAGUAGGUCUAGAAUUACAAGAGAACUAUCUAAAUAUAUAGUGUUCAAUGCAUUACUUAUUAUUCGGCACGUUUAAAAGUCUAUACAUACACAUUAUGCUUUUUUUUUAUAUAUAUAAUGUUAAUUACCCUUUUCUACUAUCAAAAUAGAAAUCUAAAGUUUGAAAUAGAAAUAAACAGCUGUAGUGAUUUAUUUUCGUCCUAUGACCAACAUUGCACAAUAGUAUUCUCAAAUACGAUUUUGUAGAGGGAAAAGUGCACCAUAGGUCAACAAACUUUUCCAAAAUCUCUUAUCUCAAAUAUGUUGUAUACCCUUUCUUUUAAUCCUGUGAAUGUGAACUCAAUCCUAAUCAAAUUUUACAAAAAAAAAAAAAAAAAAAAACCACAUAUCAUUUCUUUUUUUUUUCCCCCCUUUUGAUUAUAUUCAGUUUUUCUUUUGGCAAAACCCCAAGUUGGGGGAGGGAACUCAGUUAUAUAAACAUAGUUAUACAUAUUUUAAAAUUCAUAGUAAAAGUUCACACGAAGUAUAUAUUGUUAAAAUUCGUGUGUAAUAUUUCCUAUGAAGCGUACAAAUUCAAUCAAAAAGAUGGGUUAUAAAAACAAACAUUAAAUGUCCAUUUUCAUAUUCUUUCAUGAGUAUACGUGAUUUUUUUUUUUAAUUUGAACCACUGAUUUUGUGCAUAUAAUCUUAAUUUUAUUAGUCUAUGAACAGUAGGUGGUUGGCCUAUCCUUCCACUCUCACGAUGUGCUGAUAAAAAGUUGAAUAUGCUGUGACCGAUGAUGUUUCAACUAUACCUCUCUCAGCACAUGUUUUCUAAUUUUAAAAACUUAAUUGAUAUAUCAAGUAAAGAUUUUCUUUUUUCUUUUUUUUUCCUGACUUUCUGAACAAGGUUUUUUUUUUUCAACACAGAGGUGUCCGGGUCAAUCCUUAUGGAGCCCGACUAAUCCCCUGCAACCUGGGCCCGGUGCCCCAACCCAAUCCGAACGCGAUAAGCGCGCGGAGGAAUCUAGCAGAGCGGAGACUCAAACUCGGGACCUUAAGGGUCACCUGUGAGAGGCGCUACCGCUGGACCAUUCACGCAGGGCCUGAACAAGGUUGGAUGUGAAGAAAGAAGUGGGAAUGAAAAUAUUGGAGAUGGAUAAAAUUAAAUGCUCAGCAUAAGACAAUUGAGGUAACCUUUAACUACUGAGCCAAAUCCCAUCACCACCAUCUUAUCAUGUCUAAUUAGUCUUUUAGUUCCUUGUAAUGUUAAAAAAAAAAAUAUGGAACCAAAUGGGAGUAUGUAAUCUGUCCUUUUGCAGGCAUAAUUAAUUUGUGGGAAAAUCUUGCUACAUAUCUGCAAGGACUAAAUAAAGAUUGACUAUAGGAAGCGAGAAUGUAUCCUUGUAAAGAAGAUUUUUAUGUAGGGAUACGAAAAGAGAAAUUUGAAACAUAUAGUUGGAUUGGUUAUUCCUGAGUUUAAAGAGUCACAGGCUAAAAAAGUAGUAGUAGUACAAUUUUUUUUCCAAUCCUAGUUCAAAGCCAUAAUUAACAAUUGUACAGUCAUAAUUUGGAUUCAAAUGUGAUAAGGUGCAUUAUUCGAGCUAUUGUAAGUGAAACAAAAGAAGAAACAAAGUCAAAAAAUUUUCCUAGUGACUAAUAGUGCCGUUGGUUCCUAGAAAUAACAUAAAAAAAAGAGAUAGAGAGACACUAUCGAUAUUAUAAAGUUCUCUUGAUGUUUGUCAUUUUUAUAUGGUAACUUAUUAUAAACGAAUUGUUAAAGCCAUGUGAUAAAGUUAAGAACGAAAUUACACUAACGUGUUUCAUUCCAAAGCUAAUUGUAUUGUUAGAAAUUACAUUAACAUGAUUCAUUUGAAAUCUAAUUCUAUUUCAUAAUUCAAAAGAAAUUUUGAUGCAAUAAAACUUCUGUUUUGAAUAUGAGACCUUGAUUAUGACAAUACAUGAAUACCCUCAAUGAUAUAUUAGAAAGUGCAUUCAAAUUUAGGGUCUGACGUAGUCCUAAUUAUUUUGUAAGAAGGUUAAUCUUGAAAAGAAAUAACUCGCACGCUCAACCAUCAAUACAAACUCACUCUUUUAGCAAAGAUAUAGAUACGGAUAUUGACGAAUCUUUGUAAUUAACAAGGUACACUAUAUUGACCAAUAAAAGUCAAUGGUGGUAGGUAGAAAAGCUGUCAUCAAUGUGCACCAUGUUGAAGGUAACUAUAGUAUAGAUAUAAAUAUUUGUAAUUAACAAGGUACACCACGUUGGUCAGGGAUGUAAGCGAGUCGAACCACUAUCUCGCAAGUAGUCCGGUCAACGACUUGGUUUGAACUUGAUCAAAUCGAGUUCGAGCCAAGUCUCGAGCUACUCGAAUAUACUUUCGAGUCAGGAAUUUGCGGCUUCGAGCCGGAUAUAUUUAAUUAAUAUAUAUAAUUUAAAUAAUAUAUAUGUAUUAUAAUUACCUAAUGACUGUUAUGGGUAUAAUUUAUACUGAAUUUACAAGUAUACAUUUUCCGAAUCGAGUCAAAAAGUUUUUUUAGACUUGACUUGAUACGGCUUGACCUUUGAUCGAGCCUUAUCGAGUUGAGUCUCGAGUUUAAAAGAAUUUUCUUGAAUCAAGCUUCGAGUUGCGAUUUUUAGGCUCGAUCGAGCUCGAGCCGAGCUCGAAUCUAGUUACAUAUAGGUCGAGUCGAGCUCGAGUUUAGGACAAAGGAGCUAGAAACCAAAAUGAAAUGAAGGAGAUCAGUAAAUUAAUCACAAGAUGCCCUGAACUUACGAGGACGCCAAUCAGUGCAAUAAUACACCAUAUUUUAUAGACGGGAAUCUGCAAGUGGUGGAGUUGGGUAAGACUCUGCCGAUGCAAUUGUGGGGGUUCCAGGCUUCAAAAUAAUGCAAAGAUGCCAAUCAUGAGUUGGAGCCAGCUCAUUCCAGUUGCGAUAGUAAAAUGCUGUACUCUGCCAGUCAUUUGCAAUAUGAUUGUUAGUGUGAACGCACAUGAUUGGAAUGAGCAUUAGUUUAUUUAUUAUGUAGAAAAAGUGAUCUCGUUAAAUCAGCACACCUCUAACCAUUUACCUACGGUUAUAUGAGGGCAAAGUUCAAAUCACAUACAUUAAUACUAACAAUAAUGAUCUACAAUACUAAACAAGAUAUAUCACGGCGUAUGUGUUAUAAUCUUGUGUUUCGCUUUUUUCUAUUAUUACCUGAUUUUUCUUUCUUUCACCAUCCCUGCUUUUUAUCACACCAUCUCUCUAAAUAAUAAGUAAUUUAGAUAUAUCGUGAUUUUCCUGCCAUUUUUUGAGUAGGAUAGAGUAUUGUACACCAAUUUGUUAUUUAUAUGGUACUACAAGUAUUCAAAACUCAAAAGGAGACCUUAAAGGGGCAGAAAAAAAAAUGGAAGACCUCAUGACUCACGAGGUCAGUUCCGGUUUCUGAAUUAUUCUAUCAAAGGUACAGGAGAGCGGCCAAAAUUGGAAAUAUAUUUAAUUAUAAUAAAAUUAUAUAAUAUAUUUUUAUUAGCCUCUUGAGAAAGCAGGAAGGGAUGGGGAGGGGGUGGGACGAAGCUGCCUUACCUCCCACGAUAUAAAAUCAUGGAAGCUAUUAAGAAGACUGUGCACAUGUCUUCGGAACCUUCUUUCAACCGUGGGCCCCUUGGUCGGAUAAAGAUAAAAAGGAGCAUCGUUGGACUGUUGGUUCUUUAAACCAACUAGGGAAUUCACCACCACUUUUAGUGUGGGGUGGGAGUUUAAAUGUUCAAUCUUUACCUCCUAUCAAAAGUGGUCACCUAAUGUGGUUAUGCUUAAGAUUUAUGUGGGUGUACAGUGUGAUGGUAGUUUAGUUCUCAUCGAUUCCCUGUGAUCCUGUUGGGUUACCUCCCCUAGUAUAGAUUAGAUUAGGACUAGAAGUAGAUGUAAAUGUAGAUGAUAACAAGUGACAAAAAAAAAAAAAAAGGCUUUGGGUUCUUUACGAGGGGAAGGACAUUAUUGAUUUCAUUGACGAAGAAAUGAAAAACGAACUCUAUGGAACUAAUUUCUGCUGACCAAUUAGUAUUUGUAAUAUCAAAGAAAUGUGAACUGUAUUGAUUUAAGAGGGCUAUGAACAGCAUGCAAAUUUAGCAACAAAAAAAAAAGGAAUUGCAGAAAAUGGUAAGGAGUAAAUUAAAAAUAAUCAAUUUUCUUUACAAUUAAGGAUUACAAAUUUGUUGGAAUAGCUGUACCACUCAAUCAUGACGUGGCUUAUUUCUAAGCCCUUCACUUUGUCAAUUAAUUUAAUGCCUCAUUUAUAUCAUCUUUGCAGCUAUCUUUUUUAACUGCAUAGGGAAAAUUUAAGUUUCUUUUUUUUUUAACGGGGAUUGUAUUGCAGAUAUUGGUAAGUUUACUGUUGAUUGCAGCGUUAGUUAUAUAAUUAUACCUAUUACGUGUUCUAUGAUAAGGAAGCUGCAAGGUGCCUUGUGGCCUUCAUUUCAUGGUCAUCGCUUUGAAUUUUUGUUGCAGGCAUGUGCUUUGUACAACAAUUGGUGGCCAAUGCUAACAGGUACAAGAAUGUGGGAUAUUUGGCACGAUGUCGAUUACCUAUUCUUGAUAAUUGGCUUCUGCAUAUGACUGUGAUAUCUUGGAAUUUUCCUGCCAUUUUGAUAAAAUAGGAAUCUAGUUUCGUGCAACUUGCUCAAAAGAUGAGUAUCUGCACUGCUCUGCAAACUAUCCAAGAGGCCCUUUGUAGUUCAGAAUUAGUUAAUUUUGUUGCAUCAAUGCCUUCUCAAAAUGGUACAAAAACUUUCGUUAGUGUCUGACGAUUAUACGAUUGCAUUGUCUGCUUGCAGUAAUAAUGUAUGUGGUUCUACCUAUGCCCUUAAUUUUUUUGGCUGGCUCGGAUACUUCAUCUCUCUUCUCCGAAUCUCAAAGUGGGUAAGGUUUUUUUUUUUCCCUUCCGCACUGAUUCUCUGAUGAGAUGCUUUUAUUCAAGUUUAUUUAUAUGGAUUUUUUGGCCUUAUUUGGUUUUCAUGAACAAUGUGGCAACAGCUGGGCAGAUGUGACCAAAUUCUUAACUGGGGCGUCGGCUGUUGGUAGCAUAGCGAUACCAAUCAUCUUAAAGCAUGCUGGAGUAAUUGGCUGGGGAGCAAUGGCAAUGGAGCUCUCAUCCUUUUUCACAUUUGUUCUAGCAAUCGUGUGUUUCAUUGGAACGAGCGAAGAUGAUGGAUAUAGCAUCCUUUGAACGCGACUCUCUUUAAAAAUUUUAACUUUUCCAUUGUGCGGCAAACGUAGAAGUUGCCUUUUUCUUGAUUGCUGAGCAUUGCCUCUCAUUUUGUGCCUUGUAAAUACAGAGUGGUUAUUUUUUUUCAGUGAAUGAAUACCUGAGAUUAAGGUCAUAUACCGCAUCAGAUACCACACUUGCUGUCAGUGUCAAAUGUACAAGGUUGCAGAAUUUCUGAAGGAACAAGCCAUAAUAUCAAAGAUACUCCUGAAGGCGGGUAAUUUGUAACCGUGGAACACAUCAGUGUUCAUUGGGAGCCAAGACAAAGCAUGGAAAACUUUCAAUGUUUCGGUUCCACCAAGAACAUUACAAGCAAAAAGAUCCAUCUACCUUUAUCCUUAUUCUUUUUUCUGUUUCAAGCGAGUUUAGCUGAAUAUUGAGAAUGCAUAUCUUCAUGAACCAUCAAGUAACUACAAUGACACCAAGAAGAUAGCCCCAGCUACCACUACUUAAGUGCAAGUCUAGACACUACAAUUGGAAUAUGUAGUAGAGGAAUGAUGAUAAUUGAUAGCUUAUACUACACUUAUUAGCAUGAUAACAUUUUAAUCAGUUGCAGCAAAUUUGAACUAUGAACUUUGAUAGGUUGUAUUUUAGUGGGUAUUUUGGGCAUUAUUGCACAACUAAUUGAUUAAAUAUUUUCACUAUUUGGGUGGAUUCUACUGAUAUUUUGUUUUGAUGCUAAUUGCAGGAAUGGUUGCUGAAGAGUGCUUAAAUUCAACUUUUAGAAGAGUCAUCGGACGUGGGGCCCGUUUGAGAAGCUGAAGAAACCUAAUUGUAAUAGAUUUUAUUUUAAUAUAUUUCUAAGGAGUCUGGCUGCAAUUUUUGGAAGAAAGUAACAAUUUUUGGCUAUUCGGGGAUAUUAUUUAUCUCGCUCGCGCAGCUUAGGUUAGACGGUUUUUUUUUCCCUCUUUGUUUUGGUUUUUCUUUGGCUCUGGAUUGAGACAAAAACAGCCGCAGCUGUGUAGGGAGAAAGGAACAGCCACUUUUGUUGACUUUGGGGAUUCUAUGAACUAUUGAUGGUUUUUUUGACCAAAUUGAGAAGUGAAAAACAAUUGCAAUCUUCCAAUCUCUCGUAUGUUUCUUGCGUGAGAGAAGAGAGAAAGUAAAAGUGAGCCGCAAUCGUGGACUUUGGUCAUUGCUUUUCAUUCUGGCUUUGACCGAAGGAAAUUGAAGCAAUCGUAAUCCAUUGUCGCCCUUUUCUCUCUUCGGUUGACCGAAGUGAACGAAGGUCAAGUCUUCCGUUUGCUGUGAUUAAGGAAUCGAUGGCUUCUUCCAACCCUGUACACGCGGCCUGUUCAGUAAUGGGGAACUAAACCCCUAAUUCUAGUCAAGGGAACUACUGACGAUUUGGUUCAGCAAUUACUGUGAGAUCGAAUUUAUUUUAACUAUUCCCUCCAUUUAUUAAUAUUUAUAUAUUUCCGGUUUCUACUUGUUAUAGCCUUAUAUAUGAUUGAUUAGUGCGCAAUAAUUAAUUGUUUAUAUAGGCUAUUUUGCUAUAUAGGGGUAAUUGAAUCCGUAAUUGUUCGUUAUCUUUAUCUCAGUAGCAACUGGCACAAUUGGAUUUGUGUCAGGGGAAUAUUUGAUCUGGCUUGAAUGAACCCUCGUAGCGUGUUUGUUAGUCAGGAUUGGGCCUUUCUAAUUACUAAUACAAUCUAGAAAUUGAAUCCUACGGUCGUACCUAGGGUUGUUUUUGGGUUAGAGAAAUAGCUAACGGUCGUACCUUGGCUAUCGAUAAAUUAAGGAAGGGUUGGUUGUUUAGCGCGUGCGAGACAACUAGAACCAAUCUAUUAAUAAAGGUUGGAAUUAUUUUUGCAUCAAUGAUCAGUGCAUGAACCAUUUCUGAAGUAUACCCUUGGCUAGAGUUUCUCUUAGUUAUUUCUUUUAAUUAAUUAUUUUCUGCAUUUAAUUUGUUCAGUUGGCUCUUGAUACCAAAACCCCCCCCCAUUAAUCUUGAUUUGAAAAGGAACAAAUAUCUCUCCAGUCCCUGAGGAGACGACCCUGCUUACCACUGUCUACUAGUUAGGGAGUUCAGUUAAAUAAUUUAUUCAGGUAUAUCGGAUUAAGCAAACUCUUCGGGAACAGGGUGAAUCAAGUAACCCAUUGCACACCUAGAGUCCCUGCUCCAGUACUCGAAUUGAUUACUAGCUGUUUCAGGUGGUAGUUAGGAUUAAUUUAUUAUUAUUGCACAGGUUCGGCACCUGUCAAUUUUUGGCGCCGUUGCCGGGGACUGGCGUCUGAAUUAUUUGUUUCUUUUUUAAUUUAGUUUUUAUUUUGUUUUAUUAUAUUUUUCUUUUUCUUGGUACUUUUGCUAGUUUAUGCCCCGUUCUUCUCGCACAGGUAACUUGGUAUACGAUCCUGAGGUUGAGAAGGCAGCACGUAGGCGAAGGCAAGAGACCAAGAGACAAAAAGAAGGGUUCUCAUUUUCUGAAAACGAGUCAAUAGAAGACGAAUUGAGCAUGGCCAACACCCAGACAUUACGGGAGCUGGCUACCCCAGAACUGACUCAUCAGCCCUUGUGCAUCACGUUCCCAACUCUGGCUGAGAAUACCUCAUUCGAGUUGAAAUCGGGGUUGAUUCAACUCCUACCUUCGUUCCAUGGCCUUUCUGGUGAGGAACCCCACAAACAUAUCAAGGAAUUCGAAGUGGUUUGCUCUAGCAUGAAACCCCCUGCGGUCACCGAAGAGCAAAUACGACUCAGGGCUUUCCCUUUCUCUCUCAAGGAUGCAGCGAAGGAUUGGCUAUACUACCUACCUGCAGGUAGUAUCACCACGUGGGCACAGUUGAAAAAGAAAUUUCUGGAAAAAUUUUUCCCCGCAUCCCGGGUUGCGAGUCUGAGAAAGGAAAUAUGCAGUAUCAAGCAGUGCUCCGGGGAAUCAUUGUACGAUUAUUGGGAAAGGUUCAACAAGUUGUGCAAAGGAUGCCCACAGCAUCAGAUUAGCGAACAACUGUUGAUCCAGUACUUCUAUGAAGGGCUCCAGUCAACUGACAGGGGUAUUAUUGACGCUGCGAGUGGAGGAGCCCUGGCGAACAAGACACCGAGGGAAGCAUGGGACCUUAUUGAAGCCAUGGCAGAAAACUCUCAGCAGUUCGGCUUCCGUGAGAACACUCUUACCCGUAGAGUCAAUGAAGCAGAGACGUCAUCCAUCCAGCAGCAACUGUCAGAGUUGACGUCUGCUGUCAGGCAAUUGGCCAUGAGAGACACACCCCGAGCAAAGGUGUGUGGAAUCUGUACUAGCAUGGACCACUGCACGGAUUCGUGCCCCAUUCUGCAAGAGGAUGGGACGGAACAGGUAAAUAUGGCCGGAGGCGUGCCCGCGCCCCGCAGGCAGUAUGACCCGUAUUCCAACACAUACAACCCCGGUUGGAGAGACCAUCCCAAUCUCAGUUAUGGAAACAGGCAACAAGGUUCAUUCCCAAAUCGUCCACCAGGAUUCCACCAGUCUUGGCAACCAAAAUCUCAACCCUCAUCCUCCAAUUCAGGGAGCUCCUUGGAGGAUCUAGUCAAGAACCUGGCCACGACUACUACUAACCUGGUCACGACUACUACACAGCUUCAAGAGGAGAUCAGAUCAUUGGCCGUGAAAACCGAGCAGCUCCAGCAGGGCACCAAAGCUGACAAGAAGGACCAAGAUGUUCGAAUAAGUCAACUGGCAACUGCCAUCAACCGCUUGGAAUCCCACGUUUAUGGGAAACUGCCAUCGCAGCCCCAGGAAAAUCCCAAGAAUGUAAGCGCCAUGACACUGAGGAGUGGUAAGGAGUUGGAAGGGGCUAAAGUGAAAAAUUCGAAAAGCAAAAGCGAGGAGGAGAUAGAAAGGGAAAUUGAGAAGGAAGGACGCAUUCGUGAGGAUCCUAAGGUAACCUCCGCCUCUCCACUCGCUAUUAGCUCUAACUUACCCCCUUUUCCGUGCAGGUUGGAAAAGACAAAAAAGAUAGAGAAGGAAAAAGAGCUCUUGGAUGUGUUUCGAAAAGUGGAGAUCAACAUUCCCCUGUUGGAUGCAAUCAAGCAGAUACCAAAGUAUGCUAAAUUUUUGAAGGACUUGUGCACCCACAAGAGGAAGUUAAGGGGAGAUGAACGAGUGGCGGUGGGAGAAAACGUGUCAGCUAUACUCCAGAGAAAGCUCCCACCAAAAUGUGGAGACCCAGGUAUGUUCACCAUUCCCUGCAAGAUAGGAGGUACUCCAAUUAGGAAAGCAAUGUUGGAUUUAGGGGCGUCAAUUAAUGUUAUGCCUAAGACAAUUUAUACUUCUCUAAAUCUUGGCCCGUUAAAAGGCACAGGCAUUAUAAUCCAACUUGCAGACCGUACCAAUGCUUACCCAGAGGGGUUAGUUGAAGAUGUUUUGGUACAGGUCAAUGAGUUAGUUUUUCCUGCAGAUUUCUAUGUCCUAGACAUGGGGGAUGAAAGGGCACUAAAUCCAUCUCCUAUUUUAUUGGGUAGACCAUUUUUAAGCACUGCUAGGACGAAAAUAGAUGUAAAUGAGGGUACUUUGUCGAUGGAGUUUGAUGGGGAAAUUGUAAAUUUUAAUAUUUUUGAGGCGAUGAAGUACCCAGAUGAGACUAACUCUGUUUAUGCUUUAAGUGUUGUUGAGCCCCUUGUACAGGAAAUAUUUGAAUUGGAUGGGGUUGAUGCACUGGCAGUGGCAUUGGCCAAACAUCUUGAGUUGGGAGCAACUCUUGAUGUAGAAAUAAAUGAUGAGCUAUACCACGCUGUUGGAGCACUGCAUUCGCUCCCACCAAUUUCCCCAAGGUAUGAGCUUACUUCUGUUUUUGUACCAGAAACUCAAGCAAAAUUGUUGCCUUCUAUUGUGCAGGCACCUGAGUUGGAGCUCAAACCUCUCCCAAAGCAUUUGAAGUAUGCUUUUCUCGGGGACAAUGAGACACUGCCGGUCAUCAUAUCUGCACACCUGUCACCAGGGCAAGAAGACAGACUAAUUCGUCUCCUUCGGGAUCAUAAGGAGGCGAUUGGGUGGAGUGUAGCAGACAUCAAAGGUAUUAGCCCCUCCUUAUGCAUGCAUCGGAUCCGGCUUGAGGAUGAUGCAAAGCCAGUCAGACAAGGGCAACGGAGAUUGAACCCACUAAUGAUGGAAGUGGUCAAGAAGGAGAUACUUAAACUCCUAGAAGUGGGGAUCAUUUUCGCCAUCUCAGAUAGCCCCUGGGUGAGCCCGGUGCAAGUAGUCCCGAAAAAGGCGGGAGUUACAGUUGAAGAGAACCAAGGGGGUGAGAUGGUCCCGGUGAGGAAACCCACAGGAUGGCGCCAAUGCAUUGAUUACCGGCGUCUGAAUGCGGUGACGAAGAAGGACCACUUCCCUCUGCCUUUUAUUGAUCAAAUGAUAGAAAGGUUAGCUGGCCGGGUCUAUUAUUGUUUUCUUGAUGGUUUCUCUGGUUAUUUUCAGAUUGCAAUAGCACCAGAGGAUCAGGAGAAAACUACCUUCACCUGCCCCUUUGGUACAUUCGCCUACCGGAGGAUGCCUUUCGGCCUUUGCAACGCCCCAGCAACUUUCCAGAGGUGUAUGGUAAGUAUAUUCUCGGAAUAUGUAGAAAAGAUUAUUGAGGUGUUUAUGGAUGAUUUUAGUGUGUAUGGAGAUAGUUUUGAUGAAUGCCUGGAUAAUCUAGCUUUAAUUUUGAAGAGGUGCAUUGAGGCGAAUUUAGUUUUAAACUGGGAAAAGUGUCAUUUCAUGGUGGAUCAGGGCAUUGUUUUAGGGCAUGUAGUGUCGGCCAGGGGUAUAGAGGUAGAUAAGGCAAAAGUCGAUAUUAUUUCUGCUUUACCUUAUCCCGCAAGUGUGCGGGAGGUGCGCUCCUUUUUGGGUCAUGCAGGGUUCUACAGGAGAUUCAUCAAAGAUUUCUCCAAAAUUGGAGCGCCCCUGUUCAAACUGUUGCAAAAAGAUGUAGCAUAUGACUUCACCGAAGAGUGCAAGGUGGCAUUUGACAGGCUGCGGGAGUCAUUGACAUCACCGCCUGUUAUCCAACCUCCAGACUGGAGUCUCCCAUUUGAGAUAAUGUGUGACGCGAGUGACUAUGCAGUGGGAGCGGUGCUGGGGCAACGGAUUGGUAGAGCUGCACAUGCAAUCUAUUAUGCGUCGAAGGCGUUAAAUGGAGCUCACCUCAACUACUCUACAACAGAGAAAGAAUUGCUAGCUGUGGUUUUUGCAUUAGAAAAAUUUAGACCUUAUUUGUUAGGUGCAAAAAUAACAGUUUUCUCUGAUCAUGCAGCCUUGAGAUACUUGAUGACGAAGAAGGAUGCUAAACCAAGGCUCAUCAGAUGGAUCUUGCUCCUUCAGGAGUUCAACUUGGAGAUUAAGGAUAAAAGUGGGGCAGAAAAUUUAGUUGCUGAUCACUUGAGCCGCCUACUUGCUCAUAAGGAGGAGCCACCAUUGAGGGAGGCAUUUCCAGAGGAACAACUACUUGCCGUGAACGCGUCUGUACCCUGGUAUGCCGAUUUAGUAAAUUUCUUAGUGACUAAUCAAUUGCCUGGAGGGUGGCCAAAGGCUAAGAGAGACAAGUUGAAGAGUGAUGCCAAAUAUUACAUUUGGGACGACCCGUACCUGUGGAGGCAAUGUUCGGAUCAAGUGCUCAGGAGGUGUGUAAGUGCAGGUGAAUUCCACUCCAUUUUGAAUUUUUGCCAUUCAUUUGCAUGUGGAGGGCAUUUUGGGCCCAAGCGAACAGCUCGCAAAGUGUUAGAGAGUGGCUUUUAUUGGCCUACCCUGUUCAAAGAUGCUUAUUUAUUCUGUAAAUCCUGUGAUAGGUGCCAAAGGAUGGGGAAUAUUUUUCGUAGGGAUCAAAUGCUUCAAACCCCCAUGUUGUUUGUUGAAAUUUUUGAUGUUUGGGGAAUAGAUUUUAUGGGUCCUUUUCCCUCAUCUUUUGGUUUCCUAUACAUUUUACUUGCUGUGGAUUAUGUGUCUAAAUGGGUGGAAGCAAAAGCCACCCGUACUAAUGAUUCUAGAGUGGUUGCAGAUUUCUUAAAAUCUAAUAUUUUUGCCCGUUUUGGAAUGCCAAGAGCUGUGGUUAGUGAUAGAGGGACACAUUUCUGCAACAAGACUAUCACUGCCUUGUUUCGAAAAUACGGUGUACUGCACAAGGUAUCCACACCAUAUCACCCGCAGGCAAACGGUCAGGCCGAAGUGUCAAACAGGGAAAUCAAGUCGAUCUUGGAGAAGAUGGUGCGUCCGGACAGGAAGGAUUGGAGUUUAAAGCUAGAAGACGCACUAUGGGCUUAUAGAACCGCGUAUAAGACGCCAAUUGGGAUGUCUCCUUAUAGACUUGUUUUCGGUAAGGCUUGCCAUCUCCCCGUGGAGUUCGAACACAAGGCGUUUUGGGCAGUGAAGCAGUGUAAUAUGGGAUUAGAUGAAGCAGGGGCCCAAAGGAAAUUGCAGUUACAAGAGUUAGAAGAAAUACGAAAUGAGGCGUAUGAAAAUGCCACGAUCUAUAAGGAGAAGAGUAAAAUCUUUCAUGAUCAGCAGGUUUCUAGGAAAACUUUUGUAGUGGGGCAAAAAGUCCUCUUGUACCACUCAAGGCUUAAACUUUUUCCCGGUAAGUUGCGUUCUCGUUGGAUCGGUCCAUUUGUCGUUUCUAAUGUGUUCCAUUUUGGUGCAGUGGAGAUCCAAAGCUUAAAAACGGAGAAAAAGUUCGUGGUGAAUGGCCAUCGCCUAAAGCCUUAUUAUGAGGGAUUCGCUUUUGAAGAGGGAGGAGUUGUACACCUCCAAGAUCCACUUGAUUUUGCUUGAGGGUCUUGGCUAUGUCUAGCCAAAGACAUUAAAGAAAGGCGCUGUUUGGGAGGCAACCCAAGACUAUUUGUUUUAGUUUUCAUGCAUUUUUUUGAAGUUUUAGUUAAGUGUUAAGGUCAAUUAAUGGUUGGAUGUUUGGUGGCAGGGAAUUAGUGUUUAGGCGUGCCCACGCCAGGUGGUCACGCCUGAAGAAAAGGGGAUGCUCGCUCAGGUUCUGCGAACUCCAUAGUAGUUAGACGUGCCCACGCCAGGUGGUCACGUUCCAGGGGAAGAAAUUUUCGAUCAGGUUCUGCGGACUACAUGGCAGUUAGACGUGCCCACGCCAGGUGGUCACGCCAGAGGGAAGGAAUUUUCGAUCAGGAUCUGCGGACUACAUGGCAGUUAGACGUGCCCACGCCAGGUGGUCACGUUCAAGCAAAAAAAAAAAAAAAAAAAAAAAAAAAAAACUUCCGUAGCCCUACUUCUUCUUUUCUUCCUUUUUCUUUCUUUCUUCUUUCUUCUUCUUUCUUUUCUUUUUCUUUCUUCUUCUUCCUUCUUUUCUUUCUUUUCUUCUUUCCCCUCUUUUGCUUUAGCCGCCGCCGCGCCAUAGUCGGCCGCCGCAGGAGCUCACUACGGUCCGCCGCCACCCACCUCGUGCGCCGUCGCGCCCCAGCGUAGUCCAGCGCAGCCCGGAGAGCCCGCGACAGCCACGUCAGCCUUCUAUUCCGCCGCGCCAUAGCUGCCCACAGCACGCCGCACGCCAAACUCCUCGCUGAUCGCCGCCACCGCUCGACCUCCAACAGCGCACAAGAAACAAGUAGCUGUGCAAGGUGCGCAGCCAGCCGCCCACGCAGCCCAUCGCGCCCGCGGCCCAGCCGCGUCUGGCCACCAGCAGUCGCCGGGCGCAGCAGGCGGCCAGAGCACCAGCUGCCAGCCGCAGCCGCCAGUAGCUCAGUCACAGCCUGCAGUCCGCGAGAGGUUUCUGCGCGCGCAGCUUGCCGCCAAGCUUGCCACAGCCUCGCGUAGCCGCCUCUGGCCGCAUCCACUCAUGCGCAACCUGCAGCCCAGGUGCUCCAGUCCACCACCAGCCCUCCCUGCGCACGGCCCCCACACAGCCCAGCCGCAAGCGACUCAGAGGCAGUUCUCCUCACACGGACCAGGCCAAGCCCCUACACUCUCUGCGCAGCUGAGCAGGCCGAAUCCUUCCACCUCCGCGCCCUCUGCGCCAGCCGUAGCCCACUGCUAGUCAAAAACUCUGGUGACUUCUUAUUUAAUUUCCUGUGACUUAGCUGAGGCCAGAUUCUUAAUUUGUGUUUAGCAGAGGACAGAUUUUUACUUUCUUAGCUGAGGCCAGAUUGUUAAUUUUUACUUUCUUGCUUUUGGGGUGCUGUGAUGGAUUGUUCAUUAUUUGUCAAAUUUUAUGCUAGAAUUUUGCGGUGAUUUUUGCCCUGGUUGCCUGCUUGCUUGUUUUUGAUGGGGAAUUUGCUGCGUUUGUUGAAUUAAUUGGUUUUCGGGUUGAUUUGGUAGUGUUUGGGGAGUAUUUUGUUGUUCAGAGGACCAAUUAGUUUUUGGGUAAGUUUAUUGUCUGUUUUUGCACUCGUCUGUGGUUGGGAGCUGUGACUGGGAAUCACUUGCUUUGUUGGCUGUUUCUGGACAUAUUUUUGAACACCUGUACCUAGCCUUUGCCCAGCCCUUUGCUCUCAAAUGACCAAACCCAAAACUAAAGGCAAGAACAAGCCUUCCACUUCAUCUCCUCAGCCUACGGUCCCCUUAGAGGGACCUGCCCCAUCGACUGGGCCUGGAGGGCCUCGUACCCGCCUUGGACGGAAUAGGGAGGUUCAUAUCUCCUCUCCGGCCCAUUUUGGCGGUCAUUUGACCUUCACCCGGGCUGCCGACAAGGAGCGGUACGCCUCGGCUUGUACAAGGAAGAUAAUUCCUUGUAAAUACAUUCAUGGCCCUACACUUGAUAUGCUAAACCUUAGGGCUGAGGUCGCACAGCACUUGACUAACGUAGGCUGGACCCGCUAUGCUUCUAUCAAUCAACCCGCUUUUACUGAACUCACAUGGGAAUUCUAUGCUACCUUUGAAUUUAAUAUUCCUGAUGAAUUCUCUGUUACCACUCCUGAGGUAGUGAGGUUUCGAUUAAUGGGUAGAGAGUUCAACCUCUCUAUCACUGAGUUUAAUUUGGCUCUUGGGUUUAUUGAUAUUCCUUACUCCCAGAGUGAGGAGUAUAUGCACAGUGCGUGCGAAUAUAUAGAGCCAUUUUUCUCUCAUUACCUUGAUUAUUGGAGUGGUUUGUCAGUUGACGGGCAAUGCUAUGACCCUAGUCAGUCUAAGGCUUCUUAUCUUAAGAGCGCCGCCUAUCGUUAUUUACAUAGAUUCAUGGCCUAUAGUUUCUCAGGUAGGAAGGAUAGCUCGGGCACUCUGACUAAGCCCGAGUUCUUUUUCGUUUGGUGCAUGGUCACUCGGACUAGGAUCAAUUUGGGUAGCUGGUUUGCCCUCCACCUCCGAACUGUGCUAAGUAAGAAAAAUAAACCAUCAAUCUUAGGCUCCUUUAUCACUCAGUUGGCUGUCAAUCUUGGGGUUUUGGACUUAAAUAAUCAUAACUUGCAUCGUGCUUGUAUUAUGGAGCCCCUUGAUUUGGUUUGUUUGGAGAAAAUGGGUCUUGUGCGACAGGUGAAUGACGUUUUCCAGUUUGCUCCCCCGGGACCAAUCUCCGUUCCUCCGAAGCGCAGCGCUUCCAAAUCUACUGCCAAUGAGGCGGGUGGGCCUUCCACGAGUGCCCCCGGACCAUCCUCUUCGGCACCUCCACCAUCUUCCUCCGUCGAUAGCCAGCUGGCGGCCCUCCGGUUCCAGAUGCAGCACAUGGACACUCGUAUGGAUCGGAUGGAGCGUCAAAUGGGCGGGGUGGCCCAGAAUUUAGCUCAGUAUCUCCAUCACGUGGGCUUCCGCCCGCCGUUUCCUCCACAACCGUGAUUCAUUUCUGCCCUCCUCCAUUUUUUCCAGGGAAGUAUCGUCGCCCCAAUUCCUCUGAUUUGGUCUUACUUUGCUUACAUUGAGGGCAAUGUCAGGUUUAGGUGUGGGGGAGGGUUAACUAUGCUUUAGAGGUGUUUGGUUGUCUGCUUGAGUUUUUCCUUGCCUUAGUAGUAGUCUUUUCCUUGAACGAUGAUGAAUGCGAAUUGGGAUAUAAGCGUACAUAGUAAGUUCAUGCCAUGGGGUGUUCUAAUUUCCUCGAUGAUGAAUUGAUUGAUGAAUAUGCUUAACUUGACAUGCAUUUGACCCCUCAUGCGAUUUUGAGCCUAAUAUUUUUCGUUUUUGAGUGAUUAGUGCACAUGGUUUGUCAUUCUAGAACUUGCUCGGUUAUGCAUGUCAAGACCACAUUUAAAUGAGUUUAAUGCAUUGAAAUGAUAGGGCACCUAGGAAUGGGCCAUUUCUGGACUUUCUCGAAACCAGCCCUUGGAUUAUUUACUACCAUUAGGGAGCCAUGUUGAGCCUUAACCCCUGUUCUUUGCUUGAGACCCCAGCUCUUAGCCAUGAAACCUCUUUUUAGACUUUCUUUUCGGACCUUGUGUGAAGAAGUGCUUUGAUUUCAUUAUACAGAAUUUUGGAGUAUUUCUAGAGGGGCAUCGUACCUAUCUUCCAAAAAAAAAAAAAAAAAAAAAAAAAAAAAAAAAAAAAAAAAGGGAUGUGAAAAAAAAAAGAGUGCAGGAAACCAGCAAGUAAAGUUGACUUUUAGGGUGCUGGUGGGGAGUAUUGAAAAGAAAAAGCAAAAAAAAAGGGGAAGGAAAAAAAAAAAGAGAAAAAGAAAAAGAAAAAGAGGAGAAGUAGAUGAAUGAAAAAGGAGAAAAGGCGAAGGUUGUGGCAAGUGCUAAUUCACUUCACUUGUGUGAUGGUUGAGAUGCCUUUAAAUUUCAAAGGUGCAAGAAUCUAUGUAAUGAACUUCUGGGCACUUUCUUUACACUUAUGCACCCUUUUGACCCCUUUCGAUCCUACUUUUUCACCCUAGCCCCAUUACAACCUUGCAAGUCCCUUGAUUGCUGCAUUUAAAUUCAUGAGUAAGUGGUGGAGAUAUGAUAUAUGAGCAAGCGUAUGGUAGUGUCAUUCUACUGUGUUGUUUUGAGAGCCGUCUUAUAUACAUUUCAUAUACACUUGGGAGUGAAUGAGUGCAUUUUGAACUGCGAGUAGUGUUGAUUUGGUAUAUUCUGAUUUCGAUAAGGUUAUUGAGGAACCUGGAAUGCCGCUCUUGGUGUGAACUGCUGUGAUUUGCUUAGCAUCUUGAUUUUACUUCUGAGUUAAUUAUGCUUGAGGGCAAGCAUAGUUCAGGUGUGGGGGAGAUUGAUAGGUUGUAUUUUAGUGGGUAUUUUGGGCAUUAUUGCACAACUAAUUGAUUAAAUAUUUUCACUAUUUGGGUGGAUUCUACUGAUAUUUUGUUUUGAUGCUAAUUGCAGGAAUGGUUGCUGAAAAGUGCUUAAAUUCAACUUUUAGAAGAGUCAUCGGACGUGGGGCCCGUUUGAGAAGUUGAAGAAACCUAAUUGUAAUAGAUUUUAUUUUAAUAUAUUUCUAGGGAGUCUGGCUGCAAUUUUUGGAAGAAAGUAACAAUUUUUGGCUAUUCGGGGAUAUUAUUUAUCUCGCUCGCGCAGCUUAGGUUAGACGGUUUUUUUUUCCCUCUUUGUUUUGGUUUUUCUUUGGCUCUGGAUUGAGACAAAAACAGCCGCAGCUGUGUAGGGAGAAAGGAACAGCCACUUUUGUUGACUUUGGGGAUUCUAUGAACUAUUGAUGGUUUUUUUGACCAAAUUGAGAAGUGAAAAACAAUUGCAAUCUUCCAAUCUCUUGUAUGUUUCUUGCGUGAGAGAAGAGAGAAAGUAAAAGUGAGCCGCAAUCGUGGACUUUGGUCAUUGCUUUUCAUUCUGGCUUUGACCGAAGGAAAUUGAAGCAAUCGUAAUCCAUUGUCGCCCUUUUCUCUCUUCGGUUGACCGAAGUGAACGAAGGUCAAGUCUUCCGUUUGCUGUGAUUAAGGAAUCGAUGGCUUCUUCCAACCCUGUACACGCGGCCUGUUCAGUAAUGGGGAACUAAACCCCUAAUUCUAGUCAAGGGAACUACUGACGAUUUGGUUCAGCAAUUACUGUGAGAUCGAAUUUAUUUUAACUAUUCCCUCCAUUUAUUAAUAUUUAUAUAUUUCCGGUUUCUACUUGUUAUAGCCUUAUAUAUGAUUGAUUAGUGCGCAAUAAUUAAUUGUUUAUAUAGGCUAUUUUGCUAUAUAGGGGUAAUUGAAUCCGUAAUUGUUCGUUAUCUUUAUCUCAGUAGCAACUGGCACAAUUGGAUUUGUGUCAGGGGAAUAUUUGAUCUGGCUUGAAUGAACCCUCGUAGCGUGUUUGUUAGUCAGGAUUGGGCCUUUCUAAUUACUAAUGCAAUCUAGAAAUUGAAUCCUACGGUCGUACCUAGGGUUGUUUUUGGGUUAGAGAAAUAGCUAACGGUCGUACCUUGGCUAUCGAUAAAUUAAGGAAGGGUUGGUUGUUUAGCGCGUGCGAGACAACUAGAACCAAUCUAUUAAUAAAGGUUGGAAUUAUUUUUGCAUCAAUGAUCAGUGCAUGAACCAUUUCUGAAGUAUACCCUUGGCUAGAGUUUCUCUUAGUUAUUUCUUUUAAUUAAUUAUUUUCUGCAUUUAAUUUGUUCAGUUGGCUCUUGAUACCAAAACCCCCCCCAUUAAUCUUGAUUUGAAAAGGAACAAAUAUCUCUCCAGUCCCUGAGGAGACGACCCUGCUUACCACUGUCUACUAGUUAGGGAGUUCAGUUAAAUAAUUUAUUCAGGUAUAUCGGAUUAAGCAAACUCUUCGGGAACAGGGUGAAUCAAGUAACCCAUUGCACACCUAGAGUCCCUGCUCCAGUACUCGAAUUGAUUACUAGCUGUUUCAGGUGGUAGUUAGGAUUAAUUUAUUAUUAUUGCACAGGUUCGGCACCUGUCAAACUUCUAGGAGCAAAUGCUAUUUAAUCCACUUUAACCGUAACAAGCAAAACUGCUGCACUCCCACUAUUGCUUCAAUUUUAUUUGACAAACAAACCAAGCAAAUGUAAAAGCAACUUAAAAAGCAUGAAGAGUUUAGGCUCAAAUCUUUCUCUGCCCACAUAUAUUUCAACAUGACUUGAUAUAUGCUCUACAUGGUACACCAAUUCAUAUAAGCUCAUCCUUAUUGACAUAGACAUAGUUAUAUACUUACAUACACAAUACACGAACACAUACACUCCCCAUCCUCCAUCCCCCUCGCAACCCUGCCAACGCAAUCACAGACACAAACACAAAGCAGAUCUAAACUACUAGACAGAGAGUCUAUAAAAGCCCUCACACCAUCUCAUCCUUCCUUGCAACACUCUUAAGCAAAGAAAAGCCAAGUUCUUACAUUGUAGAACAAGAUAAAAGGACUCCAACAAAUCUACAGCUUCUCCACUCUGUCAAGUCCAGUUAAUAACAGGGAAAAUUUCAAGAACAGGGCAUGCUCGAACCUUAUUUGACAAAGAAAGCACAAUGUUCGGCUAUCUAUAGAAGACCUUCAUGCGUGAAAUGUAUUUUCGUGUACACAUACUGGUACAUUUUGUACAAACGUCAGUCCAAAUGCCCUUCACAUUUGGCCUAAAAACCUGAACCCUUUAUUGAUUAGGGCUUCAAGGGCGCCCUUUUCCAUAAUAAUUCUACAGCAAAUUGCAGGAAACAGAAGACAAUGUG